CGGGGCCCGCCCGUGCGGCUCGGGGCGGUGCUGGAGCGGGCGGGCGCUGAGGCGGCCGUUUCCUGUCCUGGUGCAUGGUGGUCGGACGGAGGAAUUGUUGGAAAAUUUCUCGGCGAGGUAGACGAUGUUAUUAGCUCAGAUAAAUCGAGACUCUCAAGGAAUGACUGAAUUUUCUGGAGGAGGAAUGGAGGCCCAGCAUGUGACUCUUUGUUUAACAGAAGCUGUAGCUGUGCAAGGUGAACAUUCAGAUGGUGACAACUUAGAAAAUAUGGAAGGUGUAAGUUUGCAAGCAGUUACCCUUGCUGAUGGCUCCACUGCUUACAUACAGCACAAUUCUAAAGAUGGUAAAUUAAUGGAUGGCCAGGUGAUUCAACUAGAAGAUGGUUCUGCUGCCUAUGUUCAACAUGUACCCAUGCCUAAAAGUACAGGAGACAGCCUGCGUCUGGAAGACGGACAAGCAGUUCAGUUGGAAGAUGGAACUACAGCAUUUAUUCAUCACACUUCCAAAGACAGUUAUGACCAGAGUGCAUUACAAGCCGUCCAGCUGGAAGAUGGUACUACCGCCUACAUACACCACACAGUGCAAAUGCCACAGUCAGAUACCAUUUUAGCUAUUCAGGCUGAUGGCACAGUGGCAGGUCUUCAUACAGGAGAUGCUGCCAUCGAUCCAGAUACCAUCAGUGCUUUGGAGCAAUAUGCAGCAAAGGUGUCUAUUGAUGGAAAUGACAGUGUAAGUGGCACAGGAAUGAUAGGUGAAAAUGAACAAGAUAAAAAAAUGCAGAUUGUCUUGCAAGGACAUGGAACAAGAGUGACUGCAAAAUCUCAGCAGAGUGGAGAGAAAGCUUUUCGUUGCGAAUAUGAUGGCUGUGGAAAACUGUACACAACAGCUCACCAUCUUAAGGUGCAUGAAAGGUCACACACAGGAGAUCGACCAUAUCAGUGUGAACAUCCAGGCUGUGGUAAAGCAUUUGCAACAGGGUAUGGGCUAAAAAGUCAUGUCCGAACACACACUGGUGAAAAACCUUAUCGGUGCACAGAAGAAAAUUGCACCAAAUCAUUCAAGACUUCAGGAGACCUGCAGAAACACAUCCGAACACACACAGGUGAAAGACCCUUUAAGUGUCCAUUUGAAGGAUGUGGCAGGUCAUUUACAACAUCUAAUAUUAGAAAGGUUCACAUCAGGACACAUACAGGCGAAAGACCUUAUUACUGUACAGAGCCAGGAUGUGGGAGAGCUUUUGCCAGUGCAACUAAUUAUAAGAAUCAUGUGAGAAUACACACAGGGGAGAAGCCCUACGUCUGUACAGUUCCUGGUUGUGAUAAACGUUUUACAGAGUAUUCCAGUUUAUACAAACACCAUGUUGUACAUACUCAUUCCAAACCAUAUAACUGCAAUCAUUGUGGAAAAACAUACAAGCAGAUUUCCACACUUGCUAUGCACAAGCGAACAGCACACAAUGACACAGAGCCCAUUGAAGAAGAACAAGAGGCCUUUUUCGAGCCACCUCCAGGUCAAGGUGAAGAUGUUCUCAAAGGCUCCCAGAUAACCUAUGUGACAGGUGUCGAUGGAGAAGAUGUCAUUUCUGCACAAGUUGCUACAGUUACUCAGUCAGGCUUAGGUCAACAAGUAGCGCUCAUUUCCCAGGAUGGAACCCAGCAUGUCAACAUAUCUCAGGCUGAUAUGCAAGCCAUUGGAAAUACUAUCACUAUGGUAACACAAGAUGGCACCACCAUCACAGUCCCUGCCCAUGAUGCCGUCAUCUCUUCUUCAGGAACACAUUCUGUAGCAAUGGUUACUGCAGAAGGCACUGAAGGACAGCAGGUUGCUAUUGUGGCUCAAGACUUAGCAGCAUUUCAUAGUGCCUCAUCUGAAAUGGGACAUCAGCAACAUGGGCACCAUUUAGUGACUACAGAAACUAGACCUGUUACAUUGUUGGCUACAUCCAAUGGGACGCAGAUUGCAGUACAGCUUGGAGAACAGCAGUCUUUGGAAGAAGCCAUUAGAAUAGCCUCCAGAAUACAGCAGGGUGAAACACCAGGGAUUGAUGAUUAACUUCUAACACUGCUACCAGAACAAUAGAUUGAAAGUAGGCUCGUCAAGCAAGUCAAAAUUUUUGGCUUCAUGUAAGAUUCAGUGUUUGUUUUAGAUGAGUGUCAAGAGCCCAAGUCUGGCAGCUUCUGAAACUGAAGCCUCAUCUUUUACCGUCUCAAGAGAAGAAUUAAAAAUCUUCCGGAUGAAGUGCUUAUCAAGAUUUUUGACAGAAAUUUCUGAUCUGAAUACGACUUUCAGGAUCAGAUCCUGUUGCCAUUCUCUUUGUAAGUAAAGAUUUAAAGUGUUAAGAGGCAGAAAUGAAGACACAAAUGGAGUCAUUAAAAAUUGUUAGGGUAUGUGCUAUCAUAGUCACAGAGAAAUAUUUAAGAAUUGUGUAAGUUAUAAGCUUUGUAUGUAUUCAUUAGCUUACAUAUAGGUGGCAUGGAGAUUGUUUUAAUUUCUAAACACUGAAACUUUUUGAAUUGGCAACCUCUAUUACAAAUAGGCUACCUUCAGUGCAAAAUAGAACAAAGAAGAAGAAAACUGUAAUAUACUGCUGAUUGUAGGGAUGGAUUCGUAUUUGCCUAGGCCAUGUCAGGAGAAGAAAGAUUGUCUUUUGAGUGACUGUGAAACUGUACGUUAAUGCUAUGAAUAUGCUUAUGGAAACAUCAUUAGCUAGAUAAUUUUUACUUCAGCAGUACCUGUAGAGGAACAUGCUCCAGAUCUACAAGCAGCUGUAGGGGAACAUUCUGCACGAAUAUCAGAUAGUUUGGCUCCAAGACCACCUGCGUUGCUACCAGCUUCCUUCCUGGAACUGAAUGACCUUUAGGUUUCUAUCAGUUUUCACAAUUCAACCGAUAAUGAGACUAUCCUCAGGCAGCUGUUGAAAGAAACUCAGGAAGGAACAGGAAGAGGAACCAGGACUAGUGUUGCAAAGGAGUUCCUUUACAUUUGUAACCAAAUGAAUCAAGGUAAAAUCUUUACAGUUUUAAUUCUGACAAAAGGAAGUUAAGUGGACUUGGGAUCUACAGUCCAAAGGAAUUUGACCUCUAAAAAAAAUAAUUUUUCAACUGACUCCACCACUAUAUCAUCCAUUAAGGCAUGGACAGUGUCAAGAACGCUCAUACAUUCAGAACAGAAUAUAAUGCUCCAUUGCUUUUCUCAGAAGCCUUGUGCUGGCCAGCAACCAUAUUCUUAGUACCAGUCUCCAGUCAUUUAUGGACUUAAUUGGUUGUAGCAUCACAGGCUUAAAUAGCACUGUAGCAGAUAUUUCUGAACAGGUACAUGGAUACUCUCCAGAAGCUUUGGUGCUUGAGAGCAUGAACUAACUUCUGUUUCCUGAAGCUUCAUCCUUCUUUUUAAAUAUCUUUUGGGGAACAGAUUUCAAACUUCUAGUUAGUAAGCUGGUCUGUUAUUCCUCCUAAGAGACUUUAAGGCACUGUAUAACUCUAAGAUACAGGCACGGACCAUUUAAAACAUUUUUUUUGUUGUUUUAUGAGACAUUGGGAAUUUGAGUUUUGUUUUUAUGCCAGUUGCUCCUGAUUUUCAUAUUAGUAGCUUGACCUUCCUCCUCUUUUCUCUUGCUUUUUAACUCCAUUUAUGUUUCUCAUAAGUUCAACCAGUUUCAAGUUUAUGUUGGCUGCUGUAGAAUGGAUUUUUGGCAGAACUCUUUUAAUUUGAUCAAAAUGAUUUGGGGGUCUUGUAGCUGAACUUGUAAGUGCAGGAAAUCCUGACAAGAUGGCAGUGUUCCCACUUCUGUGGCAGUUUCCUCUGACAGCCAGACAAAUUGCCCAUUGUUUCAUUUCUUUCUCGUUCAUCAUUAUUUGGGUUCCCUUGCUACCCACAAAAGAGAGAACAACUGUUUCCCCUUGAGCUUGAAAACUCCUAGUUAAAAGUAGCUAUUUGCCAGUGAGUGUGUUCUGCCCCAGAUAAGUAUUUCUGGUAGCAAAAGCUUCAAUGCACCACACUGCAUAUACUUUAAAUUAAAAUCAAGUAUUUUUUUAAAAAAUGUGCAAAUAUAUUCUGAAACCCCUUAAACCACCCAAAUUUCUAAGAAUAUCAGUCAGGCACUGCCUGACAUAAAGGUACAUUACAUACUGUUAAAUCAAUUUGCAGGAUCAGGGCUUUAGUUUGCAAGAUCUACAGAGGAUCAAAGAUGCAAUUUAACCAGAGAAUUUGGAAUUAUUUUGGCUCAGUCAGUAUGAACCAGUGGAAGCUUGCACAGCUCUUCCCCACUUCCUCUGUUCCUCAAUCGCCAUUGUUAAUGUGUCUGUCUAAGGGAAUUUGCUCUGCAGUGCUUUUUAGUCAGGCUGUGUACAGGAAUCCUAAUGCUAGUCAUACUUUUUUUCAUGGUGGUCAGGAUAGCGCAGUUACCAUACUUGUUUUUGGGGAAAGUCAUCUUCUAUUCAGUACAACAGUUUGUAAUCCCUUCAAAUGAUAGCAAAAGAAGAACUGGUGUAAAUGCGGGAUGGCACAUAUGUAGAGCUGAUGUACAAGGUCUUCAUAGAGUAACUACACAUUUUGUUAUAUUUACAUAUUUAUUCAGUACUUCAUUUUCUUAUUUGGUCUCAGUUUGGAAAUAAACUAUCUUUUUAAACUAUUGUGUUUCUGCUCUUUCUUUCUUUCUGCAUUCCUUUGUCUCCUCCUGUAUCUCUUUUACUGUCUUCUCAUCCUUCUGUAUUUCUGUUUCUGCAGAAACUCUGAAUUGUGUCAUUUGUUUUUGUCCCACUUAAACUGUUACAGUGAUCAGCAAUUCAACAGUUAAAGUCUAUACAACAGGACUUCUGAAUUUUGCUUUGCUGCUUAUCUUCAUUGCAUGGCAGUAUCUAUAGACUCCAGAAAGCAAUGCAGCACCAGUUCCAUUUACAUUGAGCUUGAGAAGGAAACUCUGCAGCUUUGACAUUUCUAGGGGGAAAAAAAAAGUUUUUUACCGAAAGCUUAAACUCUUUGUUUUUAAGAAAAUAAAAACAUCAUACAUGACUCGUGCAAGCCAAAGCUAGCGACUAGGAUGUUUGAGUCCUUUAUUAGGAAUUCUUUGCAUUUUCCUCUGUCGGCUAUUAAUUAAGCAACAGAUGGAGGUUACAUUUUGUAAUAGCCUUUUCUUACAUCAUCUGUCCUGAAACUGGAAUGCUUCAGCUAGUAUUUGCUAUACAGUGCAUUUCGUUUUUUUAAAUUAGUAUUUUGAAUGUGAUGUUAUUGAGAUUCUGAAUUAUUGAAAGCCAGACAUUUUUAUAACACUUGGCUUGAUGUAGUCAUCUCUCUCCAAAUGCUAUCCUGUCUCAUUUUCAUAGCUUUUAUUGGCUACCUGGCUACUUCCAGUUUUCAGAAAUUACAGUUUUCAAGAGGCUUCUAUAAUCUCAGAGAUUAUGUUCUUGUGGUUUGCCAUUGCUCGUCCUGAAAACAAAAACUCUCUUAAGUUUUCAGGCCAUCAGAAGCACGAGAAAUGCAUAGGUAUAUGGUAUUUAAGUGGAAAUAUUCCUACGUGUACCGUACGAGAAAAAAGACUCAUUACCCAUGUCUCUAGUGAUGACCGUGCUUCAAGGAAAACCAUUUCCCCUGCACAUCAGCCGGCAGUGCAAGCAAGUAUUGAGUAGACAGCUGACCUGUCCGGCCACAUUGCUUUAAAACGCUCUCAGGUUUGUGCAGUACUGUCGGCACGUGAAGGCGCGGGGUAGGUGCGCGUUUCAUCGCGGCGGAGGAGCGAGGGGCAGGGGGCGCGAGGCCCGGCCGAGCCUGCAGCAGUUGGUGACAGUUGUGCCGCGCCGGCACCGAGGUGCUCGGCCGCCCUCCGCACAGCAACAGGUGUUGCGGGGAACAAGAUUAAAGAACGGACUGGUCGCUAACAGAAGUGGAGGUAAUGCGAACGGGGCCACUCCUAGCCUGAGAUACCAGUGUCCCUGUGGCAUUUCUUAUGUCUCGAAAAUACAGACUGGGAGAGCAGCAGCUGUGUGACCAGCAACAGCAUAGAAAAGAGGAGAAACACAUAUCCAGCUGGCCGCAGAAAAGAGCCUUUGAGACCUGCUGUUGGCUACGGUCAUUCAGAAUUGCGAAACGUUGAAUAUUCCUGACUUGAGAAAGUGGAAGUGUGAGGUAAAAAGUGCCUGAAAUCUGAGAUUUCUGCUCCUAGGAAUCGAGGACCAGUCGCCCAUCCACAGGAAAACAGGGAGCAACGGAAACAUGGUUAAGUACAAACUUUAUUUUUUAUUGACUGGGUCUUACAUGUUUUAACUCAUUAUAUUAUAAACUUCUGGAGUCGGAGUCAGCCCAUGCUUUUCUUGGUAGAGAUGUUACAUUUGCAGACUGAUCUUUUAUCUGCCAGUGUGAUUUGGGGAUAACACUGACAGGGGUCCUGAGCUAACAGAGGCUGUUGGGUUAAAUGUAAUGAAAGGUAGUACAAAUCCUGAAAUGAAGCGGAGAGGCAGAGUUGAGUGCACCUCUAGGGAGAGAGCCUGAUUAAUGGCAUCCACUAUAAAUCAUAGUUGUUCUGCUCUAACUUUUUGGUUUGUGCAAGAAGUUCUUACGGAAGUGACUAUUAAUCACUUGGGCUGCUGUAUUUGAGGUGUGUUUCUGAGUGAAAUUUGUGAAUCAAGUCAUUUGGAGUGUAUUUGAAUAUUUGCUAUUUUAACUGAAAAAUGUGUCUUUAGUUAGUCCGAAGGGAUUUACUGUUGGUUUAGGGUAUGUGAAAUCGGGGUUCUUGAGCAGUCUUCUAAUGACCAAACUGGAGCAAAAAAGCUCGCUUUAAAAUGGAGCUCCUG